rnacentral:lncRNA from 10 species
CGCGGGUUUAAAACAUGCGCGUGAGAGGAAGACAAACAUAAAGAUGAAGUGCUUAAUUCAAGGUCACACAAUGUCGGGGAUGGACCUCCAGAUUUCCUUACUGACCUGCAUUAUCUUGUGGAUACCUGAGUGAAUUCCACACCACCCAUUUUAUAGAUGAAACCACUGAGACAUGGAGCAAUUGACUGAGUAGUCACUGCCCCACCCCUGCCUGGAGCCUCACACAUGACUCGCCUCCUCUCAGUGACCACAGGUGAGACGUGGUCUUGUAACACAGUGGUUAAGAAUGUGACUUUGGAGCCAGCCUGCUAGGGGCUGAAUUCUGACUCAGCCAUUUACUAACUGUGUGACCUUAGGGAGGAGGACCUGGUUG